AUUGAACGCUGGCGGCAUGCUUUACACAUGCAAGUCGGACGAGUGGCGGACGGGUGAGUAAUGCAUCGGAAAGUACCGAGUAGUGGGGGAUAACUGUCCGAAACGACAGCUAAUACCGCAUACUAUUAGAUGGGCCGAUGUCGGAUUAGCUGGUUGGUGGGGUAAAGGCCCACCAAGGCGACGAUCAGUAGCGGGUCUGAGAGGAUGACCCGCCACACUGGGACUGAGACACGGCCCAGACUCUGACGGGAGGCAGCAGUGGGGAAUGUUGGACAAUGGGCGCAAGCCUGAUCCAGCCAUGCCGCGUGUCUGAAGAAGGCCUUCGGGUUGUAAAGGACUUUUGUCAGGGAAGCGGGACCUGCAGAAUAAGCACCGGCUAACUCCGUGCCAGCAGCCGCGGUAAUAC
rnacentral:rRNA from 1 species